rnacentral:rRNA from 1 species
AUUGAACGCUGGCGGCAUGCCUUACACAUGCAAGUCGAACGGCAGCACGGGAGCAAUCCUGGUGGCGAGUGGCGAACGGGUGAGUAAAGUAUCGGAACGUGCCCAGUCGUGGGGGAUAACGUAGCGAAAGUUACGCUAAUACCGCAUACGAUCUAUGGAUGAAAGCGGGGGAUCGCAAGACCUCGCGCGAUUGGAGCGGCCGAUAUCAGAUUAGGUAGUUGGUGGGGUAAAGGCUCACCAAGCCGACGAUCUGUAGCUGGUCUGAGAGGACGUCCAGCCACACUGGGACUGAGACACGGCCCAGACUCCUACGGGAGGCAGCAGUGGGGAAUUUUGGACAAUGGGCGCAAGCCUGAUCCAGCCAUGCCGCGUGCAGGAUGAAGGCCUUCGGGUUGUAAACUGCUUUUGUACGGAACGAAAAGGUUUGGCCUAAUAAGCUGAGCUCAUGACGGUACCGUAAGAAUAAGCACCGGCUAACUACGUGCCAGCCGCCGCAGUAAAAC